CCGCACGAUUCCCUCCGUACUUCUCUCCUCUCUCGCGAGGUGCGAUCUCUCCGACGGCUUCUGCCCUAGGUCCACUCGCCGCCGCGAUGCUAUCCCCAUAACCGAGGCGUCAUGAGAUCUCCCUAUCGUAUGCCUUACGCUUCGUAGAGAUUCCAGGUGGAGAUGAGAAUGCAGUGUAGUAUGCAUCGCUGGACGUUCCUUCCAGCGGCAGCGGCAGCGGCGAGGAGCCCAUUAUGUUUCCACCUGCUUCCUUUCAUGGAUACAGUGUCUUCUUGGCCUGCCAGAGCCCAGAUCUGGCCGUGGUUUGUACUGAUCAUCGUUCAAGAUAAGAGACUGGAAGAGAUUCAUCCCCGCACUAAGAAUCUGUCCAACGAAACCAAGGGAAGAUUGCGAUAACAUUGAGACUAGAAAUGAUUCAGAAUUGUUGUUGACUCCAGUUUGCCACACCUUAUGAUGCAAAAAUUAACAACUGGAAUGUUGAAGAUGGACGACGACGUAUUGUUACAUACUAGAAAUUAGAAAUCAAAUAUAAAAAGGAGAAGAUACAUUGGGUCAUCAUAAUUAUUUCUUGUGGAAGAACAGGGAUGAUGCCUAGGCAAUGACACUGCCUAUGGGACAGUUGAUGAGUAUCAUGGGUAUAAGGCCUGGAAACUAAACAAGCAUCACGUUCCGUGUUUUUUUGUGUGCCAUCGUGUAGCUUUGUCUAUGGUUAUUGAACAAAAUGCUUAUCGACUUAGCAAGUUGUGCUUGUUGGCUCCGAGAUCUUUGCUGGACGAGAAGUUUAGUUAGUAUUUGCUACAUAUUAAUAAGUUUCUUUUCUUUGACCGGAAGGUCUUGGUGAGCUGUGAAGGUCAAUUUGGCACUCAAUUUAGGAAAUUACAUGAACUGCUGCUAUACAUAUUAUAGACAAAUAUAAUAUAAAUUAUACACAUAUUAUCUUCUAACAUCGUCAAAAUCAAAGAUAACACUGUUUAUUUUUUGGCUUUUACCUCAUUUGUACCGUACUGUAAAAGUUGGCUGCAGGGGGGCUUCACUUUCAUGGUGGCAGGAAACAUAUAGAUGAUGCUCAAAAGUAGGCCCAUCAUGUUACUUUAUUUUAUUUCUAACCUCUCCUUUUUGCACAUCUACAGGUGCAUUUUGAAAGCUAUUUAUGCUAAAUUUUAAAAAUUCACUUCACUUUGUCACAAUUUUAUGAGCAUCCAGACAAGCUGCAUGCAGCUUGAAAAGGUAAGAUUUUGUUGAGCUAUCAUUGUAUCUUAUAUCAAAUUGUAGCUUACUUACGAUGACGGGCCUACUUUGCAUCCACAUAAGUUUUCUCAUCAUUUAGGUUGAAUGCAAAAAGCAAACCUACAUCCCACAAGGAAAAUUCGACUUUUAUAUAUGACUAAAAUCUUACACCUAUUUGUUAAAAAAUGGAUCACAUUGAUGCAGGGGGUUCAUUCAUUGUGGAUUUAUGUGAAAUAUAUCUAAUUUUAUAUGGACCAAAGCUAAUAUUCCGGAUGUCCUGCUAUUGGUAUGUCGUACUUCACAUGGAGAACAUAUGUAACCGUCGAGGAUGAUAUUAUUCAUUGGAAAAGUAGUAAAUGCAAAUGAUUUAUGAUUGUGAAAUAUUAAUCCAUCGAGGACUUGAUUCAUCCCCUUGCAGCUUGGAAUAUUUGGCACAAUGGCAUCAUGCAAAGGCAAUAUCUUUUUACAUAUACUGAACCAUUUUGCAUCUUGCGGGCCCUUAUUUUGAACUAGCCCAUGACCGGUUUCAGAGAAGGCACAUGGGGUCCGUUCUUACUUACUGUGGAGAGGACGAAGAGGGUGCUGGCAGCAAUGAUCAAAAUAUGUGUGUUUGGGUACGAGGAUAAAAUUAUCUGCACUGGUGUACAAUGUCUUUGUUUGGUCAUGUUGUUAUCAGUCCCAUGUUCUUAGAUUAUUUAAACAUAAUUGCAUUUUUUCCUAUCCAUUUGGCACAUUAUAUUGUCCACAAAAAGUUACGUUUAACUUUCAUUUCUUAAAACUA